rnacentral:rRNA from 1 species
GACGAACGCUAGCGGAAUGCUUUACACAUGCAAGUCGAACGGCAGCACGGACUUCGGUCUGGUGGCGAGUGGCGAACGGGUGAGUAAUGUAUCGGAACGUGCCCAGUCGUGGGGGAUAACGUAGUGAAAAUUACGCUAAUACCGCAUACGAUCUAUGGAUGAAAGCGGGGGAUCGCAAGACCUCGCGCGAUUGGAGCGGCCGAUAUCAGAUUAGGUAGUUGGUGGGGUAAAGGCCCACCAAGCCAACGAUCUGUAGCUGGUCUGAGAGGACGACCAGCCACACUGGAACUGAGACACGGUCCAGACUCCUACGGGAGGCAGCAGUGGGGAAUUUUGGACAAUGGGCGAAAGCCUGAUCCAGCCAUUCCGCGUGCAGGAUGAAGGCCCUCGGGUUGUAAACUGCUUUUGUACAGAACGAAAAGGUUUCUACUAAUACUGGGAGCUCAUGACGGUACUGUAAGAAUAAGCACCGGCUAACUACGUGCCAGCCGCCGCAGUAA